rnacentral:rRNA from 1 species
GAAUAUUGGGCAAUGCCCGCAAGGGUGACCCAGCAACGCCGCGUGGAGGAUGAAUGUCGUAAGAUUGUAAACUCCUGUUAGAGGGGAAGAAUAGUACCGGUUGGACCGGUAUAUGACUGUACCCUCAGAGAAAGCCCCGGCUAACUACGUGCCAGCAGCCGCGGUAAUACGUAGGGUGCGAGCGUUAAUCGGAAUUACUGGGCGUAAAGCGUGCGCAGGCGGUUUUGUAAGACAGAUGUGAAAUCCCCGGGCUUAACCUGGGAACUGCGUUUGUGACUUCAAGGCUGGAGUACGGCAGAGGGGGGUGGAAUUCCACGUGUAGCAGUGAAAUGCGUAGAGAUGUGGAGGAACACCGAUGGCGAAGGCAGCCCCCUGGGACUGUACUGACGCUCAUGCACGAAAGCGUGGGGAGCAAACA